GAUUAAUUGGAGUGGCAGGAACCAGGAAGGAGCAGGGACAACCGCUGGUGAGGAGGUGGAGCAAGUGAAGAGUUACCUCUCACGUUGUGCCCUGACGACCAAAUAUAUGUCCAAAGCAGCACGGGUGGACAUGCUUACAUUGCAUGCAAUAGGGUGGAAUGAGAAAAAAAAGUCUCUCUUUACAUCAGGCACUUUCCACAAGAUAUGUGAAGACUUUUCAGAGACUCCAUGAUGAGACUGCACGGCUAGCUGACCUAAAAACAGAGCUAGAUUGCACAGAUGAAGUGGUGUCACAGUGGCUAUCUGAUGUAAAGGAAUGGGCAGCUGGUGAGACACCUGAUGCAUCUCGUGCCAGUCAAGGCACAACACACAGAGGAAUGCAGCAAUCAAUUGAGGGGCUCUACCUUAGUGUGAGGCACCG